UAGGGAAUCUUCCACAAUGGACGCAAGUCUGAUGGAGCAACGCCGCGUGAGUGAAGAAGGUCUUCGGAUCGUAAAACUCUGUUGUUAGAGAAGAACACGAGUGAGAGUAACUGUUCAUUCGAUGACGGUAUCUAACCAGCAAGUCACGGCUAACUACGUACAG
rnacentral:rRNA from 1 species